GGGUGAAGGAGAAGUACACCCUUGCAAGAGAGAAAUAUGAAGAGGCACUUUUGAUCAAGCCUGACUUUUAUGAAGGUCUAUUGGCCCUUGGCCAACAGCAGUUUGAAAUGGCUAAACUUCACUGGUCUUUUGCACUAGCUAAGAAAAUAGACCUCUCAAGUUGGGAUUUUACAGAAACACUUGAGCUUUUUGACAGUGCAGAGGAGAAAAU
rnacentral:misc_RNA from 1 species